rnacentral:misc_RNA from 1 species
AAAAAAAAAAAAAAAAAAACAGUUGAGGAAGAAGAGGAGAGUGAUCUCUGUCAUGACUCAAGGCUGGAGUAGCAGAGGCUCUAAAAUGCAGCAUUUGCUGCUGGGUUGUUUUUGUUUUAUUUUUUUUUUUCCCCUCUUGGUCAAAAUGGCAAGACAGUUUUUUACAAGGACAAUAAAAAUAAAUACAAUACAAUAAAUGAAAAUGAGCUAAAAUAUUUAAAACUAUGAAAUGAAGCUUGUAAAUUAAAAAUAUAAUAAAUCAAUUGAGAUCAUUAAAAUUUAAAUCCUGGGCAGAAUCGGGUGUCUACAAAGAAAGAUGUUUUUAUUAUUAUUUCUUAUUAAGAACUAUAAAGGACUCAUUUUCCAAAUCAAUAAGUUCAAGUGAGCAAAAGUUCCAUACUUUUUUCUUUAAACCAAUCUACUAAUCUUGGAUCAUUUAAUGAGAUUU